rnacentral:rRNA from 1 species
CUCUUAUAUUAUUAUAAGUAGAGUCUGCUCAAUGAGUAUUUAAAUGGCCGCAGUAUUUUGACUGUGCAAAGGUAGCAUAAUCAUUUGUUUUUUAAUUGAAAACUGGAAUGAAAGAUUUGACGAAGGAUUUGCUGUCUCAAUAAUAAAGUUUAAUUUAAUUUUAAGGUGAAAAGUCCUUAUAUUUUAAGGGGACGACAAGACCCUAUAAAACUUUAUUUUGAUAAAAAAAAAAGUUUGAGAUAUAAUAAGAUUGUUAGAGAAAUUUUACUGGGGCGGUAAGACGUAAAAGUAUAAACAUGUCUUAUUUAAACAAUUUAUAUGAUUUUAAUAGAUUUUUAUUUGUGUGUAAAUAGAAAGUUACUUUAGGGAUAACAGCAUAAUUUUUUCUUGGAGUCCUUAUUGAAGAAAAUGAUUAUGACCUCGAUGUUGAAUUGAGAUAUCUUUUUAAUGCAGAAUUUAAAAAAGAGAGUCUGUUCGACUUUUAAUUUCUC